rnacentral:rRNA from 1 species
UAGGGAAUCUUCCGCAAUGGACGCAAGUCUGACGGAGCAACGCCGCGUGAGUGAAGAAGGAUUUCGGUUCGUAAAACUCUGUUGUUAGAGAAGAACAGCGCAUAGAGUAACUGUUAUGCGUGUGACGGUAUCUAACCAGAAAUCCACGGCUAACUACGUGCCAGCAGCCGCGGUAAUACGUAGGUGGCAAGCGUUGUCCGGAUUUAUUGGGCGUAAAGCGAGCGCAGGCGGUCAAUUAAGUCUGAUGUGAAAGCCCCCGGCUCAACCGGGGAGGGUCAUUGGAAACUGGUUGACUUGAGUGCAGAAGGGGAGAGUGGAAUUCCAUGUGUAGCGGUGAAAUGCGUAGAUAUAUGGAGGAACACCGGUGGCGAAAGCGGCUCUCUGGUCUGUAACUGACGCUGAGGCUCGAAAGCGUGGGGAGCGAACAGG